rnacentral:rRNA from 1 species
GAAUAUUGCACAAUGGGCGAAAGCCUGAUGCAGCAACGCCGCGUGCGCGAAGAAGGUCUUCGGAUCGUAAAGCGCUUUUCUGGGAGAUGAGAAAGGACAGUAUCCCAGGAAUAAGUCCCGGCUACCUACGUGCCAGCCGCCGCGGUAAAACGUAGGAGGCGAGCGUUAUCCGGAUUCACUGGGCGUAAAGCGCGUGCAGGCGGUUUGGUAAGUUGGGCGUGAAAGCUCCCGGCUCAACUGGGAGAGGUCGUCCAAAACUACCAGACUAGAGAGCGAUAGAGGAAAAUGGAAUUCCCGGUGUAGUGGUGAAAUGCGUAGAUAUCGGGAGGAACACCAGUGGCGAAGGCGAUUUUCUGGAUCGUUUCUGACGCUCAGACGCGAAAGCUAGGGUAGCAAACGGG